ACUUGUACUUAUGUACUUGUUGAUAAGAAGUGAGCAGGCUGAGGAGGGGGCAGAAGCUUCUUGCUUUUAUGGCUCGUGUGAUUGGUUAUAAUUUUGAAAGUUCUUUUAUGGCAACAGGUACAGUUAAGUGGUUCAAUGAUUCCAAAGGUUUUGGCUUCAUCACUCCAGAUGAUGGCGGCGAAGAUUUGUUCGCGCACUUUUCCGCAAUCAACAUGAACGGUUUCAAGACCCUCAAAGAAGGUCAAAAAGUUCAAUUCGAAGUCACGCAAGGCCCUAAAGGCAAGCAAGCUUCCAACAUCCAGGCUGCAUAAGCAAUCCCCGAUGUAAAAAACCCCGCUUCCAAGCGGGGUUUUUUUA
rnacentral:sRNA from 1 species